GCUUCUGUAGUUCAGUGGAUAGAACAUCGGUUUCCGGAACCGACAACGAGGGUUCGACUCCCUCCGGAAGCAC
rnacentral:tRNA from 1 species